GACGAACGCUGGCGGCGUGCUUAACACAUGCAAGUCGAACGGAGUGGCGAACGGGGGUGUAACACGUGGGUGACCUGCCUUGCACUUCGGGAUAAGCUUGGGAAACUGGGCCUAAUACCGGAUAGUGCAAGAUGAGCUCGCGGCCUAUAAGCUUGUUGGUGGGGUAAUGGCCUACCAAGGCGUCGACGGGUAGCCGGCCUGAGAGGGUGUACGGCCGCAGUGGGACUGAGAUACGGCCCAGACGGGUACGGGAGGCAGCAGUGGCGAAUAUGGCACAAUGGGCGGAGGCAUGAGGCAGCGGCGCCGCGUGGGGGAUGAAGGCCUUCGGGUUGUAAACUCCUUUCGGCAGGGACGCGGUACCUGUAUAAGAAGCACCGGCUAACUACGUGCCAGCAGCCGCGGUAAUUC
rnacentral:rRNA from 1 species